CUUUUCCUCUCUCCAAAAUUUUUUGCCGUUGCAUUUCACCCCUUUACCUUCUCGAUCCCUGAGCAUUCCCCCCUCUGCUGCCCCGACGAGCUCUUCUUCAUCCUGUAAGAGGAAAGAGGAAGGCAGAAUGAAUCUUUUGUUGAAUCCUCUUCUUCAAGAUGACGCGAAGGGCUUAGGGGUGUUUAGGGCGUCGAUUAGAGAUUCCGUUCUGGUCGUUGUCUCCUCCUCCUCCUCCUUAUCAUCUUCAUCAACAAAUCCAUCAAUUCGUCCUCACUGUCGCGGCCGACGAGCAUGCAGAGGAGAGACUCCAGUCGGUUGCAGGCCAGGGAGUCACCAACGAGGCGAGGUGCUUGUGGUUAAACCAUAAAACCCUAACAUUAUCACAUCCGCGUAUGCAGGCCAGAAAUAAUGCACCUAAAUUGUGGCUCAGCCGAUACACGAUUUUCUACCACGGCAUUUGGCAAAUGCUCAAAGAGCCAAAGGUUGCGCUCGGCUCUCUACUCAUUGGCGCAACCCCAGUAAGGUUCAAACAAACCCAAGCGUCGGUAGCUGCACUUGGGAUCCAGUCUCCGCCUUCUCCUCUUUCGCCUUCGUCGACUGGGUGAAGGUCACCGACGGCGAGUUCUUCCAAACCGACUCCAGGCCGAUCAUGCCCUUCGACGGCGUGUGCAAUUUUUGCAAUGGUGGAGUCAGAUUUGUUCGCGAUAAUGAUCGUAAUAGGUCUCAUGGUCCUCUCCGUUUUCUUCUUCGUUUUCCCCCAGAUGAAUGAUUAGGUACGAGGCGCUUCAGAGUGAAUCUGGUAGGAAACUUCUACAAAGAUCGGGAGAUCAUCUGACGAUAUUUCCAGUGUAGUAAUUGUCGAAAAAGACAGGUUGUCAAUGCUAUAAAGUCCCAGCCGAAGCUUCUUAACAAAAUUGAUGAAGUGGUCUCUCAUUUCCUGAAUAUAGUGCAAACUAUGCAUGAACGAUGCAGCUCUUCUUUAGAGGUUGAUAUAAUCGCAUUGGACUUCUCCCAAAAGCUACCUUUUCGUUUGAAGAUUCCAUCUAUUAAGCUUGCUAUUCAGCGUGGACUAUAUUUUUGAAAUUACGUAUUCUCAUCUUAUAGUUGAUUCUCAUGUCACAAGAAAGAUCCUUUCAGAUGCAAAGGUCACCGCUAGCUAAUGCCAUUAGGAAGAAACAGUUCUAUAAGGAAACGGUCAGACUUGAAAGAGUCGUACUGUCUAGUCUCAAUGGAUUAUAUUCUACAUGUAUGAAUUUUUGGAAAACUUAAAAAAUACUUAAUUGUUUAAAUUAAUAUAGCAAGUUGUACAUUCAGGGAUGGAGUGAGCGAUGGUCAAUUCUAUCAAGUUCUACUAUAUGAACUAGAUGCGAACAAAAAAGUAGAUUUUCCAAUAAUUUGUACUACAAUUCUUGUUUCAGUGUUUUUGUACUCAACACUCCAUUUGUGUUUUAGACCUGUGCCUCUCUAGAACCAAACUAUCAACCUCCAGUGACUUUUGUGGUGGUCCAAAAAUGUCAUCACACUAGACUGUUUGCUAACAAUCACGGUGACCACCAAUUUGUUGAUAAGAGUGGAAACAUAUUGCCUGGUUAGUUUAGUUGAUAGCAUGGAUGCAUCAUUUUCAAGACAAUUCUAUUUUGUAUAUUUUUUUCAAACCUUGUUUUUUCAAUAGAGCUUUCCAUCCUUGAAAUUCCAGGGACUGUUGUUGAUUCUAAGAUAGGCCAUCCUACUGAACUUGACUUCUACUUGUGCAGCUAUGCAAGCAUUCAAGUAACUACAUUUCUCCAAAUUUCAGCUAUCAACCCUGUUUUACGUCUUCUAUAGAAUGUUGGAAAAGGUUGACAUGGAAGAAUCAGCAAGUGAGAAAGAGGAGUCCAAAGAAAUUCUACAAGUUGAAGAUUUUAAUGGGGCUUGAGUUGACAAUAAUUACUUGCAAUCCUACAUGCCAUGAACC